rnacentral:rRNA from 1 species
CAGCAGCCGCGGGAAUACGUAGGGUGCAAGCGUUAAUCGGAAUUACUGGGCGUAAAGCGUGCGCAGGCGGUUAUAUAAGACAGAUGUGAAAUCACCGGGCUCAACCUGGGAACUGCAUUUGUGACUGUAUAGCUAGAGUACGGCAGAGGGGGAUGGAAUUCCGCGUGUAGCAGUGAAAUGCGUAGAUAUGCGGAGGAACACCGAUGGCGAAGGCAAUCCCCUGGGCCUGUACUGACGCUCAUGCACGAAAGCGUGGGGAGCAAACAGGAUUAGAUACCCCAGUAGUCCCUGUCUCUUAUCC